GGGAAAGGCAUACUUCUCUCUGCACAAUUUGGCCUAUUACUGGAACAUUACUCUGACUUUCUUUAUCUUCCUCACAAUACAUAGAUGUUUGGGGAUGGUUGCAUGUGUAUUUGCAGAUGGAUAAGGUGUCGUCAGAAUGUCCACACUUUAAGUAAAGCUUAUCAAUUAUUUACAACCUAAUACAAAUGAGUUUAUCAGAUCUUUUUUUUUUUUCAGAUCUUUAUAUUACAGCAAGUUUUGAGGGAGAAGUUCGAAGCACCAGGAGACGGAAAGAAGUGGUUUGAUGGAAUAGAAUAAAGAAUUUAGGAAGGAAGGGAAAAUGGGAGAUGCUGGAAGAGAAUCUUUGCUUUAGCCUUGAGCUGGCAAAAUUUCACCACUGAUAAUACAAAAUGGUACCAUGAAAUCAAGAGGGUGACCUAGACAAAUCUUCUUGUCAAAUGUUCAUCUUUCCUGGGUUGGCCUUCUGCCACACUGGCACCUGAAAUGUAGCAAACAAUGUCAUUGGAUGCUGAAGGUGUGACCAAGUCCACCUUACCCUCUGAUGGAAAUGAUUCACUUCAGCGUCCUGUCUACAGUUCUUACCUCACACAGGCCACCGCUGAGAGUGACAAGUCUCUGAGCAUGGCCCUGCCGUUAGGGGUGAGCUCAAAUCUACAGUUGAGACCAUUAACAUGUCUUAAGGGUUUUACUUUUCUGGAGAGCAAAGAAUAAAAUGUAAUUAGAGAAGCAUUUUAUUGUGAUCCUGAAACCCACAUUAUAAUCAAUGGAGGAAAUAACUGAAAGAUGAAGAGAAACCACAGGGAACAUCUGUUGUUUCUUAAAUGUGGGAAAGUGACAACCCCAAAAUGCAGUGUGUUUAGCCAUUUGCCAUUAACUGCCUAGAUGAACUAGGACCAGCUUCUGGGACCAGAAAGUAAGAAAACACUAAAGAUAAGUAAAGGAUAAAACAUGUUGAAAGGACCCAGGCCAAAGCUCAGUUUGAAUCACCAGCAACCACAUAGACUAACUUCAUAUAUAACCCAAAGUAUAAAACAAAUGUGCAUGAGGCUAUGUUGAUAUAAUUAAAUGAUUGAAUAAAUAAAUGGAGGAAGAGACA
rnacentral:lncRNA from 12 species